rnacentral:rRNA from 1 species
CAGUCGCCGCGGUAAUACGGAGGGGGCUAGCGUUGUUCGGAAUUACUGGGCGUAAAGCGCACGUAGGCGGCUUGGUAAGUUAGAGGUGAAAGCCUGGAGCUCAACUCCAGAAUUGCCUUUAAGACUGCCGAGCUAGCAGGUGAGAGAGGUAAGUGGAAUUCCGAGUGUAGAGGUGAAAUUCGUAGAUAUUCGGAAGAGCACCAGUGGCGAAGGCGGCUUACUGGCUCAUACUGGACGCUGAGGUGCGAAAGCGUGGGGAGCAAACAGAAUUAGAUACCCCUGUAGUCCCUGUCUCUUAUAC